rnacentral:rRNA from 1 species
GGGUUGUGAGGUUAAGCGACUAAGCGUACACGGUGGAUGCCCUGGCAGUCAGAGGCGAUGAAGGACGUGCUAAUCUGCGAUAAGCGUCGGUAAGGUGAUAUGAACCGUUAUAACCGGCGAUUUCCGAAUGGGGAAACCCAGUGUGUUUCGACACACUAUCAUUAACUGAAUCCAUAGGUUAAUGAGGCGAACCGGGGGAACUGAAACAUCUAAGUACCCCGAGGAAAAGAAAUCAACCGAGAUUCCCCCAGUAGCGGCGAGCGAACGGGGAGCAGCCCAGAGCCUGAAUCAGUGUGUGUGUUAGUGGAAGCGUCUGGAAAGGCGCGCGAUACAGGGUGACAGCCCCGUACACAAAAAUGCACAUGCUGUGAGCUCGAUGAGUAGGGCGGGACACGUGGUAUCCUGUCUGAAUAUGGGGGGACCAUCCUCCAAGGCUAAAUACUCCUGACUGACCGAUAGUGAACCAGUACCGUGAGGGAAAGGCGAAAAGAACCCCGGCGAGGGGAGUGAAAAAGAACCUGAAACCGUGUACGUACAAGCAGUGGGAGCACGCUUAGGCGUGUGACUGCGUACCUUUUGUAUAAUGGGUCAGCGACUUAUAUUCUGUAGCAAGGUUAACCGAAUAGGGGAGCCGAAGGGAAACCGAGUCUUAACUGGGCGUUAAGUUGCAGGGUAUAGACCCGAAACCCGGUGAUCUAGCCAUGGGCAGGUUGAAGGUUGGGUAACACUAACUGGAGGACCGAACCGACUAAUGUUGAAAAAUUAGCGGAUGACUUGUGGCUGGGGGUGAAAGGCCAAUCAAACCGGGAGAUAGCUGGUUCUCCCCGAAAGCUAUUUAGGUAGCGCCUCGUGAAUUCAUCUCCGGGGGUAGAGCACUGUUUCGGCAAGGGGGUCAUCCCGACUUACCAACCCGAUGCAAACUGCGAAUACCGGAGAAUGUUAUCACGGGAGACACACGGCGGGUGCUAACGUCCGUCGUGAAGAGGGAAACAACCCAGACCGCCAGCUAAGGUCCCAAAGUCAUGGUUAAGUGGGAAACGAUGUGGGAAGGCCCAGACAGCCAGGAUGUUGGCUUAGAAGCAGCCAUCAUUUAAAGAAAGCGUAAUAGCUCACUGGUCGAGUCGGCCUGCGCGGAAGAUGUAACGGGGCUAAACCAUGCACCGAAGCUGCGGCAGCGACGCUGAUGCGUUGUUGGGUAGGGGAGCGUUCUGUAAGCCUGCGAAGGUGUGCUGUGAGGCAUGCUGGAGGUAUCAGAAGUGCGAAUGCUGACAUAAGUAACGAUAAAGCGGGUGAAAAGCCCGCUCGCCGGAAGACCAAGGGUUCCUGUCCAACGUUAAUCGGGGCAGGGUGAGUCGACCCCUAAGGCGAGGCCGAAAGGCGUAGUCGAUGGGAAACAGGUUAAUAUUCCUGUACUUGGUGUUACUGCGAAGGGGGGACGGAGAAGGCUAUGUUGGCCGGGCGACGGUUGUCCCGGUUUAAGCGUGUAGGCUGGUUUUCCAGGCAAAUCCGGAAAAUCAAGGCUGAGGCGUGAUGACGAGGCACUACGGUGCUGAAGCAACAAAUGCCCUGCUUCCAGGAAAAGCCUCUAAGCAUCAGGUAACAUCAAAUCGUACCCCAAACCGACACAGGUGGUCAGGUAGAGAAUACCAAGGCGCUUGAGAGAACUCGGGUGAAGGAACUAGGCAAAAUGGUGCCGUAACUUCGGGAGAAGGCACGCUGAUAUGUAGGUGAAGUCCCUCGCGGAUGGAGCUGAAAUCAGUCGAAGAUACCAGCUGGCUGCAACUGUUUAUUAAAAACACAGCACUGUGCAAACACGAAAGUGGACGUAUACGGUGUGACGCCUGCCCGGUGCCGGAAGGUUAAUUGAUGGGGUUAGCGCAAGCGAAGCUCUUGAUCGAAGCCCCGGUAAACGGCGGCCGUAACUAUAACGGUCCUAAGGUAGCGAAAUUCCUUGUCGGGUAAGUUCCGACCUGCACGAAUGGCGUAAUGAUGGCCAGGCUGUCUCCACCCGAGACUCAGUGAAAUUGAACUCGCUGUGAAGAUGCAGUGUACCCGCGGCAAGACGGAAAGACCCCGUGAACCUUUACUAUAGCUUGACACUGAACAUUGAGCCUUGAUGUGUAGGAUAGGUGGGAGGCUUUGAAGUGUGGACGCCAGUCUGCAUGGAGCCGACCUUGAAAUACCACCCUUUAAUGUUUGAUGUUCUAACGUUGACCCGUAAUCCGGGUUGCGGACAGUGUCUGGUGGGUAGUUUGACUGGGGCGGUCUCCUCCUAAAGAGUAACGGAGGAGCACGAAGGUUGGCUAAUCCUGGUCGGACAUCAGGAGGUUAGUGCAAUGGCAUAAGCCAGCUUGACUGCGAGCGUGACGGCGCGAGCAGGUGCGAAAGCAGGUCAUAGUGAUCCGGUGGUUCUGAAUGGAAGGGCCAUCGCUCAACGGAUAAAAGGUACUCCGGGGAUAACAGGCUGAUACCGCCCAAGAGUUCAUAUCGACGGCGGUGUUUGGCACCUCGAUGUCGGCUCAUCACAUCCUGGGGCUGAAGUAGGUCCCAAGGGUAUGGCUGUUCGCCAUUUAAAGUGGUACGCGAGCUGGGUUUAGAACGUCGUGAGACAGUUCGGUCCCUAUCUGCCGUGGGCGCUGGAGAACUGAGGGGGGCUGCUCCUAGUACGAGAGGACCGGAGUGGACGCAUCACUGGUGUUCGGGUUGUCAUGCCAAUGGCACUGCCCGGUAGCUAAAUGCGGAAGAGAUAAGUGCUGAAAGCAUCUAAGCACGAAACUUGCCCCGAGAUGAGUUCUCCCUGA